rnacentral:rRNA from 1 species
UACGAAGGACCCGAGCGUUAUCCGGAUUUAUUGGGUUUAAAGGGUGCGUAGGUGGUCUAUUAAGUCAGUGCUGAAAUAUCCCGGCUUAACCGGGAGGGUGGCAUUGAUACUGAUGGACUUGAGUGGAGUUGAGGUAGGCGGAAUUGACGGUGUAGCGGUGAAAUGCUUAGAUAUCGUCAAGAACACCAAUAGCGAAGGCAGCUUACUAAGCUCUAACUGACACUGAUGCACGAAAGUGUGGGGAUCAAACAGG